AGUAAAGCGACGAUAAGAAAUAGUAAAUAUAAUAAUAUUUUCAAGAGAGUGCAAGAGGUGGUGAGAUUGCAUAUUUAUUAUAUAUUGAACACAUCUUUGAGCAAAUUGGCGAAAAAAGUAACCAGUUUCGGAUCUCUCGCACCCGUUAUAGUGCAAAGGUAUGAUAGUACCUUAUGAGUUUGAUAUGCGUGAGUGUAUCAUUAAAAAGAGGUGGAACCACGUGAUUAAUAUCUCGUCCUCUAG
rnacentral:ncRNA from 1 species